rnacentral:lncRNA from 1 species
CAGACACGGCGGAUUGGAAAGGUUGUCAGCCAUUUAUUAUCCCACCAUUGACGACAUCAUGUAGUCCUGACGCUUGUAGUAGCUCAUGCGGUGACUGGUAUAACCAGAGGGGGAGGGCGAAAUGCAAAGAAGGUGCCAAGUGUGACUGGGUUUCCCACUGUGUUCCUGACGGCUGCAACUGCACACUAUGCGGAGAUUUCAACCUUCCACCCAUGGGCCCUAUAAAGAAAGUGAUAUUAACAACCUAGAGUGUGUAGUUUUUACAAACAUAUGGUGU